CUGGUUGAUCCUGCCAGAGGUCACUGCUAUCGGGGUUCGAUUAAGCCAUGCGAGUCGAGAGGGUUCAGACCCUCGGCGGACUGCCCAGUAACACGUGGAUAACCUGCCCUAAGGUGGAGCAUAACCCCGGGAAACUGGGGAUAAUACUCCAUAGGUUAGAGAUACUGGAAUGUUCUUUAAUCGAAAGUUCCGGCGCCUUAGGAUGGAUCUGCGGCCGAUUAGGUAGUUGUUGGGGUAACGGCCCAACAAGCCUGUAAUCGGUACGGGUUGUGGGAGCAAGAGCCCGGAGAUGGAAUCUGAGACACGAUUCCAGGCCCUACGGGGCGCAGCAGGCGCGAAAACUUUACAAUGCAGGAAACUGUGAUAAGGGAACCCCGAGUGCCCGUAUACGCGGGCUGUCCGGGUGUAUAAAAAGCAUCUGAAGAAAGGGCCGGGCAAGACCGGUGCCAGCCGCCGCGGUAAUACCGGCGGCUCGAGUGGUGACCACUUUUAUUGGGCUUAAAGCGUUCGUAGCUGGACUCUUAAGUCUCUUGGGAAAUCCCGCGGCUCAACGGUGGGGCGUUUAAGAGAUACUGGGAGUCUAGGAACCGGGAGAGGUAAGAGGUACUUCGGGGGUAGAAGUGAAAUUCUGUAAUCCUCGAGGGACCACCGAUGGCGAAGGCAUCUUACCAGAACGGCUUCGACAGUGAGGAACGAAAGCUGGGGGAGCGAACGGGAUUAGAUACCCCGGUAGUCCCAGCCGUAAACGAUGCGCGUUAGGUGUACUGGUGACCACGAGUCACUGGGGUGCCGAAGGGAAACCGUGAAACGUGCCGCCUGGGAAGUACGGUCACAAGGCUGAAACUUAAAGGAAUUGGCGGGGGAGCACCAC
rnacentral:rRNA from 1 species